rnacentral:misc_RNA from 1 species
UCCGGUUUGUCACCGGCAGUCUCAUUAAAGUGCCCAACUAAAUGAUGGCAAUUAAUGACAAGGGUUGCGCUCGUUGCGGGACUUAACCCAACAUCUCACGACACGAGCUGACGACAGCCAUGCAGCACCUGUGUUGAGGUUCCCUUUCGGGCACACCGGUAUCUCUACCAGCUUCCUCACAUGUCAAGGGUAGGUAAGGUUUUUCGCGUUGCAUCGAAUUAAUCCACAUAAUCCACCGCUUGUGCGGGUCCCCGUCAAUUCCUUUGAGUUUUAAUCUUGCGACCGUACUCCCCAGGCGGUCAACUUCGCGCGUUAGCUACGUUACCAAGUGAUCAAGUCACCCGACAACUAGUUGACAUCGUUUAGGGCGUGGACUAC